rnacentral:misc_RNA from 1 species
GAUGGAAGAACGCAGCGAAAUGCGAUAAGUAAUGUGAAUUGCAGAAUUCAGUGAAUCAUCGAAUCUUUGAACGCACAUUGCGCCCGCUAGUAUUCUGGCGGGCAUGCCUGUUCGAGCGUCAUUUCAACCAUCAAGCUCCUUAGCUUGUGUUGGGGACCUGCGGCUGCCGCAGCCCCCGAAAUGCAGUGGCGGGCUCGUUGUCACACCGAGUGCAGUAAUCAUUCUUCUCUCCGGGCGUGGCGGCGGGUUCCGGCCGUAAAAUCACCAAUUUAUCAAGGUUGACCUCGGAUCAGGUAGGAAUACCCGCUGAACUUAAGCAUAUCAAUAAGCGGAGGA